GACGAACCGUGCAAACGUUGUUCGGAUUCACUGGGCUUAAAGGGCGCGUAGGCGGGCGGUCAAGUCAGGGGUGAAAUCUUUCGGCUCACGAACGGAAGUCGCUCUGAUACUGACCGUCUCGAGGGAGGUAGGGGCAUGUGGAACUUCCGGUGGAGCGGUGAAAUGCGUAGAUAUCGGAAGGAACGCCGGUGGCGAAAGCGACGUGCUGGACCUCUACUGACGCUGAGGCGCGAAAGCCAGGGGAGCAAACGGG
rnacentral:rRNA from 1 species